UUUGUUCUGAACGCAAACAUAUAAAGCUUGUAUGUCUAUGGACUGAAAAAUGUCACCUUAAUCACAAGUUUACAGUGUGUUGGCCCUCAUCUUUUCUUCCAGAGAUCAUCAUGAGGAGUUGUGUCCUGCACCUUCUAACGCUUCUAAAAUCCAAACCGUUCAAGUUAUGACAAAGUCCUUCACAAGUAAUGUUCAGCAGGGGUAGAGCUGUAAUUUGUGCAAGUUUGAAGCAGUUAUGAUAAACGGUGUAGGAGCAAAUAAUUUUUGAUCGACAGAAUUUGUGAAAAACGCCAUCUUACAUUCAAAGACCGACAGCUCACUUCCUGUUGGAGUUAGGUCAGGGGUUGCAGCGCGACAUUUGUAGGUCUUGAUGAGACGAACGAGACAGUUUUGGUUUGGUCUUUCUAAGUGGUUCCUACCCGUCACACCGGGCAUUUUAGUGUGUCUAGGUGGCACAACAAAUCAUCAGGAGGUUUUGGCGCACAUCACCUGAAACGCGCCAUAACAUCCAAACCAUUCUAGUAAUGGAAAAGUUACGCACAAUAAUUGAUAAGGACACGUUGAACAAUAAUCUGUGCGAGUUUGAAGCCGAUACGAUAAACGGUGUAGGAGGAGAUGUUUUUUAAAGGAAUUUCUUUUUUUUAGGAAAAAUCUUACUUUGAAAGGAAAUAGCUCACUUCCU